UACGUAGGGUGCGAGCGUUGUCCGGAAUUAUUGGGCGUAAAGGGCUCGUAGGCGGUUUGUCGCGUCGGGAGUGAAAACACUGGGCUUAACUCAGUGCUUGCUUCCGAUACGGGCAGACUAGAGGUAUGCAGGGGAGAACGGAAUUCCUGGUGUAGCGGUGAAAUGCGCAGAUAUCAGGAGGAACACCGGUGGCGAAGGCGGGUCUCUGGGCCGAAACUGACGCUGAGGAGCGAAAGCGUGGGGAGCAAACAGG
rnacentral:rRNA from 1 species